UACGUAGGGUGCGAGCGUUGUCCGGAAUUAUUGGGCGUAAAGGGCUCGUAGGCGGUUUGUCGCGUCGGGAGUGAAAACGCCGUGCUUAACACGGCGCUUGCUUUCGAUACGGGCAGACUAGAGGUAUGCAGGGGAGAACGGAAUUCCUGGUGUAGCGGUGAAAUGCGCAGAUAUCAGGAGGAACACCGGUGGCGAAGGCGGUUCUCUGGGCAUUACCUGACGCUGAGGAGCGAAAGUGUGGGGAGCGAACAGGAUUAGAUACCCGCGUAGUCC
rnacentral:rRNA from 1 species